GACACGACUCUCGGCAAUGGAUAUCUCGGCUCUCGCAUCGAUGAAGAGCGCAGCGAAAUGCGAUACGUGGUGCGAAUUGCAGAAUCCCGCGAACCAUCGAGUCUUUGAACGCAAGUUGCGCCCGAGGCCAACCGGCCAAGGGCACGCCUGCCUGGGUGUCAAGC
rnacentral:rRNA from 1 species